rnacentral:rRNA from 1 species
AUGAGUGUUUUCAGAUUACCAGCUUCUGUUUGUGAUGACUUAACACGUAUGAUGAGACAGUAUUGGUGGGGUGUGAAGAAUGGGAAGAAAAAGAUGGCUUGGCACAGUUGGGAAAAGAUGAAGUUACCCAAAGCAAUGGGCGGUAUGGGGUUUAGGGACAUGAGAGCUUUUAACCAGACCCUGUUAGCUAAACAGGCACGGCGUCUGUUGGAUACCGAUAGCCUCUGUGCCCGUCUACUAGAACCAAAGUAUUACCCAAACGGGAAUUUAUUGGACACUAUUUUUUCAUCUAGAGCUUCGGUUGUAUGGAAAGGAAUUGUGCAUGGGCUUGGUCUUCUAAAAUAAGGUACUAUAUGGUGGGUCGGAGAUGGCUCCUUAAUUAAAACAUGGCGGGAUCCAUGGAUACCGCGUGAUCAUAAUCUCCGGCCUAUAACGUCGAAGCGAAAUUGCGGAUAUAAUUGGGUUGCAGAUUUCUUGGAUGAGCAUGGAGCUUGGAGCGUGCAGAGGCGGGGAGAGCACUUCUAGGAAUUGGAUGUUCAUGAAAUUGUAAAAAUUCCAACUUCUCAUAGAAGGGGACAUGCUUUUAUUGCGUGGUUCCCAGAAAAGAACGGGCUAUUCUCAGUAAGAAGUGUGUAUCGGUUAGCAACUAGAGAACAAAAUAUGAUGGCCGCGAAGGGUUCUUCAAGCUCGCACCCGACCGGAGAAAGACCGAUAUGGCAGUGUAUUUGGGGAUCUAAAGUUCCUUUAAAGAUGCGUAUUUUGGCUUGGAAAGUGGCUUCUGGUGCGUUGGCGACAAAUGUGUGCAAAAAAGUUUAG